rnacentral:lncRNA from 1 species
AGAUUUCCGUAUUCGGUACUUCUUUUAUGGGAGAAGGAUCUGAAAUCGUUUCUAAUCUGGGAUUUCAGCUCUGAAAUUUUAUAUUUAUUGGACAGUCACUAUCUCAAGGUCCACUGAUGAAGGAAUCGCGUCCCCCUAUAUUCCUAUGAAAGCCCGACUCCUAGAAUCACGCUUGCUGCUGGAGAAACCGUACAAUAUAUUAUGUUUAUUGCAGUAAGAAUGAAGGACCUCUUUCUUCUACUACUACGCCAUGUGAGUUAACAAAAACAAACAGAAAAGGGAAGAGAGAAAGAAGAAAAAAAAAAGUAAGACGAAGAAAAGAAGUAGUUACAUGAUAGAAAAGAAAAAGAAAAUUAAAAAAAUCUAUCGUAACAACAAGAAUAAAAAAAAAAAAGGUGAAAUCCAAAAUAAACUGGAAUAAGACGCGCAGGUGCUUAUAAAUAAAAACAGUUAAUAAUGAGCGUUAAGCAAGUAUUUUAACGUCGUACAAAAAACGCCAUUACACAAGUUUGAACAGGCAAUUUUUUUUUUUUUCAUAAAAAAAAAAAAU